UACGGAGGGGGCUAGCGUUGUUCGGAAUUACUGGGCGUAAAGCGUGCGCAGGCGGCUCCUUAAGUCAGAUGUGAAAGCCCCGGGCUUAACCUGGGAACUGCGUUUGAAACUGGGGAGCUGGAGUGUAGAAGAGGGGGGGUGGAAUUCCCCAAGUAGAGGUGAAAUUCGUAGAUAUGGGGAGGAACACCGGUGGCGAAGGCGGCCACCUGGACGGUAACUGACGCUGAGACGCGAAAGCGUGGGGAGCAAACAGG
rnacentral:rRNA from 1 species